GAUUGUCGCCAUGUGACAAACGCCGUGCGAAUCAUUUUACACGAAUUAAGUUACUUAAUCCUGGCAGUGAACCUAUGGGAGUGGCCUUGUCAGCAUUCCCAAUUUGUAGGAAAAAGGAAAUUCUUGUCCCACUGGAUUCAUAAUUCAUGGUAUUCUGGUGCACUGUUGGAUAGCUCUUCAUUGCCAUGAAAAUGAAGCUUGGAUUUGCAAGGGGUCCCGUCUAGCCUCACAUCAACGCCACCUGGACAGUGUGUGGGAGAACCAGACCCUGGCCCCAAAGCCCCUCACUUUCCUCUGCAUUCUGCCCCCUCCACCA